UUUGGUGGCCUCCCUAAUAUACCUAUUAGUAAGGAAUGAAAAUAGUCCUGCAAGAAACUGGAGAAAGGCAUGCCGAACUCACGUAGCAUAAGUGACGUGGCCUCGGCCCAAAGAAGCCAUUGACCUGUGAGAACAGUACCUGAAGACAAGUGCCUCAGGUCCUUUCAGGAUAAAGCCCUGAAGAAACAGAUUCAACAGAGGAGGAAGAGGCCUGAUCCCACUCGGACUACUGGUGUCUCGGCUUGGAAUAGUACGCUCCAUCCCCUCUGGAAUUCUUUCCAAACUCUUUGGGGGAAUGAGAAAUGGUCAUCUUGUGGCAUUGUGAGAUUCAUGAAGAUGAGCGCACAGAAGCCACAAGUCUUAACUGCGGGUGGCGGUGAGCCUCAUCACCUCCUCGUAGCCGCCUAAAAUUGCAAAGGAGGAUCAGGACGCAAGAGCUUGCCUUCCGAAGGACAGCUAAGGAUCAUGUCCUGCUGCAAGAGAGGAGCUAAGCAGAACCUGUCUGGCUCAAGCCACGACGGAGCCAGAUCCAGAGAAAACACUGGAGCCAGAGGGCU